rnacentral:rRNA from 1 species
UACGUAGGGUGCGAGCGUUAAUCGGAAUUACUGGGCGUAAAGCGUGCGCAGGCGGUUCGUUGUGUCUGAUGUGAAAGCCCCGGGCUCAACCUGGGAAUGGCGGUGGAAACUGGCGAGCUAGAGUGUGGCAGAGGGGGGUGGAAUUCCACGUGUAGCAGUGAAAUGCGUAGAGAUGUGGAGGAACACCGAUGGCGAAGGCAGCCCCCUGGGCUAACACUGACGCUGAGGCACGAAAGCGUGGGGAUCAAACAGG